UCGAUCAUGGCGCAGCGGCAGCGUGCGCUGCUAUCGCACGUUGGGGUCGGGGGUUCGAUACCUGAGCGAG